AAGCUGGGGAGCGGCGUUGCCCACAGUCAAGGUGGCGCCCCGGGCGUCACGUGCGCCAGUCCCGGCUCCGCCCCGGAGGGCUCUGGAAGGCGAGGCGGUGCCUGCCCUGCCUGCCCUGCCUGCGCAGCUGGAAAGGUCAGAGCUGCAACCCAGCUGUGGCGAGAGCUGCGUUUCUUCUGGCCUCGGCCGUAGGCGCGUGACAGGGCAGGGCCUGGCCGGGCGUGUGGCUUCCUUGACUGCGGUUGACCCGGAGGCCCGGCACCUUGCGCUGCGGGCCCCGCCUCCUUGGCCGAGGGAGUUUGGAUGACUUGCACAGUAGCGGUGGAGGGUGGGCUGCCUCUUGGUUCCGAGGGGAAGUGAUCCCAGCCUGGGCCCGGACCGCACCUUAUCCCGGUUUAGGAAGGGACCCGGGGUGUCUGCCCCGUUAUUUUACAGAAAAGUUGAUGGACUUGUCCCGGGGCUUGGGAUGGCAGAUUUAGAACCGGAAGGGACUGUGCCCGUGAACUAAGACCCAUCUCUCCUUCACCCCUCGGAAAACCUUAAGAAAUUUGCCCGAGGUUCCAGACGUGCUGGACAUCACGGCCGAGGUUUAAAAUCAUUGUCAAAGCCAAACCCUCCUUUGCCCGAUCCCGAGCCGGGCCCAGCGAGGAAGGUGACCCUGCUCAAGGUCACAGAACUCGCCUCCUCGCUCUUCAGUGCCGCUUCCUAAUGGCUCGCGCAAAAACCCUACCCAUACCUGAAGAACUUUCGAGCACCAACUAAGGGUUUGCCUGCCUAAAUCUGAAGUUCACAGUCAUUAAUCAACGUCCAGCCCUUACCAGGCUGGGAAUCGAUCAUUCCCUUGCAACAAUGUCUGAGCAACUUGCCAGUGGUUUCCAGUAAUUCCUGUCUUGGUGAGAAGAAAAUAGAAAGUAUGCCAUAAAGAAGCACAGAGAAGCAGGACAUCCUUGAAAGACGUAUCUGGAAGAAUAGGAGAAUCGAAGAGAGACGAUAAGACGGUGAUAGUGGAGGAGGAUGAUGUCGACUCUAACUACCUGCACGUCCCCAGCUGAGCCAGUGCUGAUCUAGAGACAUCCCUUGGAUGCAAGGCAACCUCACUGGGAGAACAUUGACAUUGGCCUCCUCUGAUACAUCCAGAGGAAAAUGACAAGGAUGAUAAGAAUUUAAGAUCAUGCAAAAGGAAGCUCAACAAGAAUAUAUUAAGCAACAACUAAGUGUGAAGCAUGUGGAUGGACAGAGCUUCUGAUUACAGGCCAAGCGUGUUCAAAUCUUGCAAAGGUGUAAAUGAGGACAGCCUAAGGCAGACAAUGAAGGGCUUGCCAGACCAAGAAACCUGUAUUUUGCCAACCUGUUCAGGAUUUGAUUACUUUUAAAAGCCCAAGCUACAAAUAAAAACUUCAACAAUC